rfam:Streptomyces violaceusniger Tu 4113, complete genome.
CUUCAGCGAGCCGAGCCAUACGGGCUCGUCCCCCGGCCGGUCCUGGCCGUAGGUGGCCAGGAGGGCCUGGGCUUC